UACAGAGGCCUCAAGCGUUAGGCGGAAUCACUGGGCUUAAAGCGCGUGUAGGUGGACUUUUAAGUGCUUUGUGAAAUCCCACGGCUCAACCGUGGAACUGCUCGGUAUACUGGGUCUCUUGAGCCACUUAGGGGCAACCGGAACAAACGGUGGAGCGGUGAAAUGCGUAGAUAUCGUUUGGAACGCCGAUGGUGAAAACAGGUUGCUGGGAGUGCGCUGACGCUGAGACACGAAAGCCAGGGGAGCAAACGGG
rnacentral:rRNA from 1 species